UACGGAGGUUGCAAGCGUUAUCCGGAUUUAUUGGGUUUAAAGGGUGCGUAGGCGGGAAUAUAAGUCAGUGGUGAAAACCUGCAGCUCAACUGUAGAACUGCCAUUGAUACUGUAUUUCUUGAGUUUAGUUGAGGUGGGCGGAAUGUGUAAUGUAGCGGUGAAAUGCUUAGAUAUUACACAGAACACCGAUUGCGUAGGCAGCUCACUAAACUAAAACUGACGCUGAGGCACGAAAGCGUGGGGAUCAAACAGG
rnacentral:rRNA from 1 species